rnacentral:tRNA from 1 species
UCCCUUGUGGUCUAGUGGUUAGGACUUGGCACUUUCACCGCUGCGGCCCAGGUUCAAUCCCUGCCCUGGGAA